UCUAUGUCUCACAUUAUGUGUUCUUUUAAAUUGUGGUAUAUAGCCUGGAUCAGAAAUCAUGGACAAAGGUUUUUUACCUGUGUUACUAAGGGCUCUUGGAGACUGACCGGUCUAAAGGUUUGCCAUGCCUUUAAAACAUGGUAUAGUAUAAAUUUUUUAAGUCUCUGAGAGUUCUGAAAGAUUCAGGUGAAACCAUGUCUGUUUAAUCUGGUCCAGAUGUUUGUUCAAUUUCUAUAGGAUUUAAGUUGAUGCAGCAUCAUCUCAGAUUAGUUAAUGGUAGUUUUAUACAAAUAGUUGAGUUAUGAGCGCGCUAUAUAAAUGGAUCCUUUCUUUAAAUACAAUACUAUAGUAGAUUAAAGUAAUGAAGUUAAUUAAGAAAAUGUAUACAUAAGAAUCCCUAAAAUAAAUCUAAACUAAAAUUGGUAUACCUUCCAAUAAUAUGUUCUGAAUACAGCUGUUAACUGUUUAUUUUGUGUAAAUGGUGAUUGUGAUAAUGUGUGAUAAGUGUGCAGUUUAACUUGAAAGUGGUUUAAUUUAUGUUGCUGUAUUGUUUUAAAU